GGUUCGUGAUGACAAUGGACCUUAUCUGACCAUUAUGAUUUUAAAAUUUGAGCUUAAAAUGACUCUGAAAUC